AGCGGAGGAAAGAACCAACCGGGAUUGCCUUAGUAACGGCGAGUGAAGCGGCAAAAGCUCAAAUUUGAAAUCUGGCGUCUUCGACGUCCGAGUUGUAAUUUGAAGAAGGCGACUUUGUAGCUGGUCCUUGUCUAUGUUCCUUGGAACAGGACGUCAUAGAGGGUGAGAAUCCCGUGUGGCGAGGAUCCCAGUUAUUUGUAAAGUGCUUUCGACGAGUCGAGUUGUUUGGGAAUGCAGCUCUAAGUGGGUGGUAAAUUCCAUCUAAAGCUAAAUAUUGGCGAGAGACCGAUAGCGAACAAGUACAGUGAUGGAAAGAUGAAAAGAACUUUGAAAAGAGAGUGAAAAAGUACGUGAAAUUGUUGAAAGGGAAGGGCAUUUGAUCAGACAUGGCGUUUGCUUCGGCUUUCGCUGGGCCAGCAUCAGUUUUAGCGGUUGGAUAAAUCCUCGGGAAUGUGGCUCUGCUUCGGUAGAGUGUUAUAGCCCGUGGGAAUACAGCCAGCUGGGACUGAGGAUUGCGACUUUUGUCAAGGAUGCUGGCGUAAUGGUUAAAUGCCGCCCGUCUUGAAACACGGACCUCCUGUGUGAAGGGAAUCCGCUAA
rnacentral:rRNA from 1 species